rnacentral:lncRNA from 1 species
AGUGGCAGGGAGUUGGUGCCAGAGCCCAAGGUGGACGGGUCGACCAGAAAGCAGGGUCAGGAUCAGCUGAAAGUGUCCUUACGGGCCUUUCGGGGCAGCUGGGGCUUCCUAGAAGCUUUUGGGAGAGUCAUCCCCAUUGGCAGGUGGGUACCAGGAACCCGGGGUCAGGCACCUGGCACCUGCCGACCACUCUCACUGUCCUCUCAUCCCUAGGAGAACGUGCAGGGCCCCAAAUGUGACCAGUGCAGCCUUGGGACCUUCUCACUGGAUGCUGCCAACCCCAAAGGUUGCACCCGCUGCUUCUGCUUUGGGGCCACGGAGCGCUGCCGGAGCUCGUCCUACACCCGCCAGGAGGUGCGCCUGCAGGACUGAGGGCAUUGCCUUCUCGGGGAGGUCUUAGGUGGGACUGGAUGCAAGAUGGGGCCCUGUGAUG